UGGGAGCUUGCUCCCUGAUGUUAGCGGCGGACGGGUGAGUAACACGUGGGUAACCUGCCUGUAAGACUGGGAUAACUCCGGGAAACCGGGGCUAAUACCGGAUGGUUGUUUGAACCGCAUGGUUCAAACAUAAAAGGUGGCUUCGGCUACCACUUACAGAUGGACCCGCGGCGCAUUAGCUAGUUGGUGAGGUAACGGCUCACCAAGGCAACGAUGCGUAGCCGACCUGAGAGGGUGAUCGGCCACACUGGGACUGAGACACGGCCCAGACUCCUACGGGAGGCAGCAGUAGGGAAUCUUCCGCAAUGGACGAAAGUCUGACGGAGCAACGCCGCGUGAGUGAUGAAGGUUUUCGGAUCGUAAAGCUCUGUUGUUAGGGAAGAACAAGUACCGUUCGAAUAGGGCGGUACCUUGACGGUACCUAACCAGAAAGCCACGGCUAACUACGUGCCAGCAGCCGCGGUAAUACGUAGGUGGCAAGCGUUGUCCGGAAUUAUUGGGCGUAAAGGGCUCGCAGGCGGUUUCUUAAGUCUGAUGUGAAAGCCCCCGGCUCAACCGGGGAGGGUCAUUGGAAACUGGGGAACUUGAGUGCAGAAGAGGAGAGUGGAAUUCCACGUGUAGCGGUGAAAUGCGUAGAGAUGUGGAGGAACACCAGUGGCGAAGGCGACUCUCUGGUCUGUAACUGACGCUGAGGAGCGAAAGCGUGGGGAGCGAACAGGAUUAGAUACCC
rnacentral:rRNA from 1 species